rnacentral:rRNA from 1 species
AAAUUGAAGAGUUUGAUCAUGGCUCAGAUUGAACGCUGGCGGCAGGCCUAACACAUGCAAGUCGAACGGUAACAGGAAGCAGCUUGCUGCUUUGCUGACGAGUGGCGGACGGGUGAGUAAUGUCUGGGAAACUGCCUGAUGGAGGGGGAUAACUACUGGAAACGGUGGCUAAUACCGCAUAACGUCGCAAGACCAAAGAGGGGGACCUUCGGGCCUCUUGCCAUCAGAUGUGCCCAGAUGGGAUUAGCUAGUUGGUGAGGUAACGGCUCACCAAGGCGACGAUCCCUAGCUGGUCUGAGAGGAUGACCAGCCACACUGGAACUGAGACACGGUCCAGACUCCUACGGGAGGCAGCAGUGGGGAAUAUUGCACAAUGGGCGCAAGCCUGAUGCAGCCAUGCCGCGUGUAUGAAGAAGGCCUUCGGGUUGUAAAGUACUUUCAGCGGGGAGGAAGGUGUUGUGGUUAAUAACCGCAGCAAUUGACGUUACCCGCAGAAGAAGCACCGGCUAACUCCGUGCCAGCAGCCGCGGUAAUACGGAGGGUGCAAGCGUUAAUCGGAAUUACUGGGCGUAAAGCGCACGCAGGCGGUCUGUCAAGUCGGAUGUGAAAUCCCCGGGCUCAACCUGGGAACUGCAUUCGAAACUGGCAGGCUUGAGUCUUGUAGAGGGGGGUAGAAUUCCAGGUGUAGCGGUGAAAUGCGUAGAGAUCUGGAGGAAUACCGGUGGCGAAGGCGGCCCCCUGGACAAAGACUGACGCUCAGGUGCGAAAGCGUGGGGAGCAAACAGGAUUAGAUACCCUGGUAGUCCACGCCGUAAACGAUGUCUACUUGGAGGUUGUGCCCUUGAGGCGUGGCUUCCGGAGCUAACGCGUUAAGUAGACCGCCUGGGGAGUACGGCCGCAAGGUUAAAACUCAAAUGAAUUGACGGGGGCCCGCACAAGCGGUGGAGCAUGUGGUUUAAUUCGAUGCAACGCGAAGAACCUUACCUGGUCUUGACAUCCACAGAACUUUCCAGAGAUGGACUGGUGCCUUCGGGAACUGUGAGACAGGUGCUGCAUGGCUGUCGUCAGCUCGUGUUGUGAAAUGUUGGGUUAAGUCCCGCAACGAGCGCAACCCUUAUCCUUUGUUGCCAGCGGUCCGGCCGGGAACUCAAAGGAGACUGCCAGUGAUAAACUGGAGGAAGGUGGGGAUGACGUCAAGUCAUCAUGGCCCUUACGACCAGGGCUACACACGUGCUACAAUGGCGCAUACAAAGAGAAGCGACCUCGCGAGAGCAAGCGGACCUCAUAAAGUGCGUCGUAGUCCGGAUUGGAGUCUGCAACUCGACUCCAUGAAGUCGGAAUCGCUAGUAAUCGUGGAUCAGAAUGCCACGGUGAAUACGUUCCCGGGCCUUGUACACACCGCCCGUCACACCAUGGGAGUGGGUUGCAAAAGAAGUAGGUAGCUUAACCUUCGGGAGGGCGCUUACCACUUUGUGAUUCAUGACUGGGGUGAAGUCGUAACAAGGUAACCGUAGGGGAACCUGCGGUUGGAUCACCUCCUUACCUUAAAGAA